GGGUUGUGAGGUUAAGCGACUAAGCGUACACGGUGGAUGCCCUGGCAGUCAGAGGCGAUGAAGGGCGUGCUAAUCUGCGAUAAGCGCCGGUAAGGUGAUAUGAACCGUUAUAACCGGCGAUACCCGAAUGGGGAAACCCAGUGUGAUUCGUCACACUAUCAUUAACUGAAUCCAUAGGUUAAUGAGGCGAACCGGGGGAACUGAAACAUCUAAGUACCCCGAGGAAAAGAAAUCAACCGAGAUUCCCCCAGUAGCGGCGAGCGAACGGGGAGGAGCCCAGAGCCUGAAUCAGCAUGUGUGUUAGUGGAAGCGUCUGGAAAGGCGCGCGAUACAGGGUGACAGCCCCGUACACAAAAGCGCAUGUGCUGUGAGCUCGAUGAGUAGGGCGGGACACGUGGUAUCCUGUCUGAAUAUGGGGGGACCAUCCUCCAAGGCUAAAUACUCCUGACUGACCGAUAGUGAACCAGUACCGUGAGGGAAAGGCGAAAAGAACCCCGGCGAGGGGAGUGAAAAAGAACCUGAAACCGUGUACGUACAAGCAGUGGGAGCACCCUUUGGGGUGUGACUGCGUACCUUUUGUAUAAUGGGUCAGCGACUUAUAUUCUGUAGCAAGGUUAACCGUAUAGGGGAGCCGGAGGGAAACCGAGUCUUAACCGGGCGUUAAGUUGCAGGGUAUAGACCCGAAACCCGGUGAUCUAGCCAUGGGCAGGUUGAAGGUUGGGUAACACUAACUGGAGGACCGAACCGACUAAUGUUGAAAAAUUAGCGGAUGACCUGUGGCUGGGGGUGAAAGGCCAAUCAAACCGGGAGAUAGCUGGUUCUCCCCGAAAGCUAUUUAGGUAGCGCCUCGUGAACUCAUCUCCGGGGGUAGAGCACUGUUUCGGCUAGGGGGCCAUCCCGGCUUACCAACCCGAUGCAAACUGCGAAUACCGGAGAAUGUUAUCACGGGAGACACACGGCGGGUGCUAACGUCCGUCGUGAAGAGGGAAACAACCCAGACCGCCAGCUAAGGUCCCAAAGUCAUGGUUAAGUGGGAAACGAUGUGGGAAGGCCCAGACAGCCAGGAUGUUGGCUUAGAAGCAGCCAUCAUUUAAAGAAAGCGUAAUAGCUCACUGGUCGAGUCGGCCUGCGCGGAAGAUGUAACGGGGCUAAACCAUGCACCGAAGCUGCGGCAGCGACGCUGAUGCGUUGUUGGGUAGGGGAGCGUUCUGUAAGCCUGCGAAGGUGGCCUGUGAGGGUUGCUGGAGGUAUCAGAAGUGCGAAUGCUGACAUAAGUAACGAUAAAGCGGGUGAAAAGCCCGCUCGCCGGAAGACCAAGGGUUCCUGUCCAACGUUAAUCGGGGCAGGGUGAGUCGACCCCUAAGGCGAGGCCGAAAGGCGUAGUCGAUGGGAAACGGGUUAAUAUUCCCGUACUUGGUGUUACUGCGAAGGGGGGACGGAGAAGGCUAUGUUGGCCGGGCGACGGUUGUCCCGGUUUAAGCGUGUAGGUGUGUGUUCCAGGUAAAUCCGGUUCACUUUAACACUGAGGCGUGAUGACGAGGCACUACGGUGCUGAAGCAACAAAUGCCCUGCUUCCAGGAAAAGCCUCUAAGCAUCAGGUAACAUCAAAUCGUACCCCAAACCGACACAGGUGGUCAGGUAGAGAAUACCAAGGCGCUUGAG
rnacentral:rRNA from 1 species